rnacentral:rRNA from 1 species
CAGCCGCCGCGGUAAAACGAAGGGGGCUAGCGUUGUUCGGAAUUACUGGGCGUAAAGGGCGCGUAGGCGGCCAUUCAAGUUAGAUGUGAAAGCCCUGGGCUCAACCUAGGAAUUGCAUUUGAUACUGUUUGGCUUGAGUUCGGGAGAGGCGAGUGGAAUUCCCAGUGUAGAGGUGAAAUUCCUAGAUAUUCGGAAGAACACCAGUGGCGAAGGCGGCUCACUGGCUCAUACUGGACGCUGAGGUGCGAAAGCGUGGGGAGCAAACAGGAUUAGAUACCCCCGUAGUCCCUGUCUCUUAUAC